rnacentral:misc_RNA from 1 species
UCUAUGGAUGCAUUCAUGGGGAAGAUCACAGAGAAAACAACUGGAUCUGUGACAGUUAAGUUGUACAAGGGAUCUGUAUCAGUAACCAGUCGCACAAGCCCUUAUAGUCUGUACAGGCAAGACAUCUCAUCCUUUGAGAGUGGAAAAAUAUAUGAUCAGGCUGAUGCAGCUGGAUUCAUUCGACUCUAUGGCCUUCCAAUGAAGGUUAGGGCAAUGCUCGAGAAGGGAAUCUGAUGAUUUUUUCUUUUUGUUGCACUUCUAUUUCAUGA